UGCGAUGAGUCGAGAUAUAGCCGGACAAUUUAAUUGUUGCGCUGCGGCGCCUAGCGGUUUGAUCGAAACGGGGCACGUUUUACUGCAGGAAGCAGUGUGUCUGGGCUAAAACAUUGUGGAGUGU
rnacentral:ncRNA from 20 species